ACGGAAACCACAGAGAAAGGGUAGAGAAGACAAGAUGGCGGAUUGAGUGGGUUGCGCUGUGGACAAACGGUUGCGACCCUUUAAGUUAGCACGCUAGUUAUUAAGGACUGAAAUGUUCGGAUAGAAAAACAUUAUCGUCCGUAGCGUAAUUAUUUUGUCUUUUGAACCCUCAGUGUGGAGGUCGUUUUUUUUUUUUUUUUUUCUCUCCCUCACCUCCCAGCAACGGUCCUCGCUAACGCUAAGCUUGACUAGCUGCGUUUUCGAGUAGCUGUGACUGGCUGGUCGUACAAGGCCGUUCGAUCGAAUUAGACGUUCUUACUACCACGUCAUACAGUGUUUCUUAAAGGAAUUCGUAUUUUAACGAUCUUUUGUGGAUGGUACCUUGUUUUUUUGUUGUUUUUUCCCCCCUAAUUUGCGCAUUACGUUAGCAAGUUCUCAUUUAGCUACCAUUCGUCCAUAUUGACCAACGGGGUCAGGAUUACAUUUAUGUUUCGCCGACCAUUCAGUUAGAACAGAAUUUCCUGAAGUGAAUCGAGCGGCGAUCGUCAUUUGGUGGAUAUUAUGGCGAGCAGCAGUGGCUCUAAAGCCGAAUUUAUUGUCGGUGGGAAGUACAAGCUUGUCCGGAAAAUUGGAUCGGGGUCUUUUGGCGACAUAUAUUUGGCCAUCAACGUCACAAAUGGAGAGGAGGUAGCAGUAAAAUUGGAGUCACAGAAAGCCAGGCAUCCACAGUUGUUAUACGAAAGUAAGCUGUACAAAAUCCUACAAGGUGGUGUCGGGAUUCCACACAUAAGGUGGUAUGGCCAAGAGAAGGACUACAAUGUCCUAGUCAUGGACCUGCUUGGCCCCAGCCUUGAGGACCUCUUCAACUUCUGCUCUCGACGCUUCACCAUGAAGACGGUCCUUAUGCUGGCAGACCAGAUGAUCAGCCGAAUUGAGUAUGUACACACAAAGAACUUCAUCCACAGAGAUAUCAAACCAGACAACUUUCUCAUGGGCAUCGGCCGACAUUGUAACAAGUGUUUAGACUCGUCAGUGGGGAAGAGGAAAAGAAGCUUGGCGGUUAGCUCUUCUCAGGACCCAUCUUUCUCAGGAUUAAACCAGUUGUUCCUUAUUGAUUUUGGAUUGGCGAAGAAGUACAGAGACAACCGAACACGACAGCACAUCCCCUACAGAGAAGACAAGAACCUGACCGGCACAGCACGUUAUGCCUCCAUCAAUGCACACCUGGGCAUUGAACAAAGUCGCCGUGAUGACAUGGAGUCACUAGGCUAUGUGCUGAUGUACUUCAACAGAACCAGUCUACCAUGGCAAGGACUGAAGGCUGCCACAAAGAAGCAGAAGUAUGAGAAAAUCUCAGAGAAGAAGAUGUCUACCCCUGUUGAGAUCCUGUGUAAGGGUUUUCCAGCAGAAUUUUCCAUGUAUCUGAACUAUUGCCGUGGCCUACGCUUCGAGGAGGCUCCAGACUACAUGUAUCUGCGCCAACUCUUCCGCAUCCUCUUCAGGACUUUGAAUCACCAGUAUGACUACACAUUCGACUGGACCAUGCUGAAACAGAAAGCAGUGCAGCAGGGGGCCUCCUCCGGGGGCCAAGGCCAACAGGCGCAAACCCCCACAGGCAAGCAAACUGACAAACCCAAGCCUAACAUGAAAGGGUAGCGGAACGUAGCCAUCCACCACCUCUCAAUAUUCAAGUCCAGCUGUGGAUGUUACCGAGCCAGAACGGCUUGAUUCAAAAUCUCCCACGCCGGAUUCCGCUUCAUAUGAUUACAGAGGACGGCGCAGUGUCUUGAGAUUUCAACAGGAUGAAAGCAUACGUCUACGACUGAGCACACCAGAAACGAGGUUUCUGAGUAGUCUCCUGCCAGAGCAGAGUAGGAGGACAAACGAGGCUGGCUUUCCCGGACAAGCGACAAAGAAAGUCUGUCUCCUCCCCCCCACCCCUUCCAUCUGUCUGUGUAAUGGAAAUAUAUAGAUUUACACACGUCGGCUGUGUUAUCUCUAUAUUAAAUGUGUAUAUAAAGAAAUUCUCCACUCUGAAAGAAAAACGAUGGAAUCGAAGCUCCUUUGGAUGUGGAGGCUGUAGUUCCUUGUCCUAACCAUGACCCUACAUAGCUUCUCAUCCAUCCCUGUCUGUCUUCCCUUUCACUGUUGACUUUUUGUAAGGUUUCGUUGGAAACAGAAUUAAAACAUUAGUCAGCUCUUGUUUUGCCUCACUGUGGGAACAUCUCAAAGCAUCUCUUCCGUUUUUCACUACUUAUUUCACUCUGCUUUACCAAGCAAAUGUUUAAACAUGUAAAUCUGAAAACCUUUUUGUUUUUGAAGAGCUGAAUGAGAAACCCAUUGAACCCUUAUUUACUGAAAGGUGAACUGUUGAAAUUUUUUUCCCUAUGGUGGUUAGGAGGUUGCCUGUUGACGUUAUAAGCAGCUGAUGGCAACAGUCUGUUGUAGAUUGAUACUCUGGCUCUCUCCCUCUCUUUAGAGCUACGACUUAUUAUUAAAUCUGUUGUAAAAACCCAUGGUCUUCUCCAAAAAUGCCAAUAAAAACAUUAUACAACUCGGA